rnacentral:rRNA from 1 species
GAAGGUAGCGUAAUCAUUAGUUUUUUAAUUAAAAGCUGAAUGAAUGGUUGGACGAGGUAAAUACUGUCUUUAUUUAAUUUAUUUUAGAAUUUAACUUUUGAGUUAAAAGGCUUAAAUUUGAUUAAUAGACGAGAAGACCCUAUAGAUCUUUAUAAUUUAAAUUAUUAAAUAUAUUAGGUUUACUUUUAGUUUAAUAUUUUGAUUUAUUUUAUUGGGGUAAUAUAAAGAUUAAAAUAAUUCUUUGAAUAAAUUAACAUAGAUAAUUGGUUAAGUGAUCCAUAAAUUUUGAUUGUAAGAUUAAGUUACCUUAGGGAUAACAGCGUAAUUUUUUUAGAGAGUUCUUAUCGAUAAAAAAGU